GAUGAAGAACGUAGUGAAAUGCGAUACGUAAUGUGAAUUGCAGAAUUCAGUGAAUCAUCGAAUCUUUGAACGCAUAUUGCGCUCUCUGGUAUUCCGGAGAGCAUGCUUGUUUGAGUAUCAGUAAACACCUCAACUUCCAUAUCUUUUUUGAAAUGGGAGUUGGACUUGAGUGAUCCCAACGCUUUUCCUCACCGAAAAGUGGCGGGUUACUUGAAAUGCAGGUGCAGCUGGACUUUUCUCUGAGCUAUAAGCAUAUCUAUUUAGUCUGCCUAAAAAACAGAUUAUUUCCUUUGCUGCAGCUAACAUAAAGGAGAUUAGUUCUUGUGCUGACUGAUGCAGGAUUCACAAAGACAGGCUUCGGCCGACUUUGUAAACUCGAUCUCAAAUCAAGUAAGACUACCCGCUGAACUUAAGCAUAUCAAUAAGCGGAGGA
rnacentral:misc_RNA from 1 species